rnacentral:lncRNA from 1 species
CCACUUAAUAUCUUAAUUUAAUUGGAGUAGCUUGGGUUUGCAUGCAUCCAGUGUUCCAUGAAAUGAGCCAUGUAAAAACCUAGGAAUUGGUUCACUCACAUCAAAUCUUGCAUGAAAUCUUAUUCUCAAGAGUACAAUGUUACCGUUCAUGCGUUAUGAUAAGGCCAGGAUAUAUGGAUAAUUUGGUAAGCUCGAUCCAAUAAAUCUCUUCAUAAAGAUUGACAUAA